ACUGAGUGGCGGACGGGUGAGUAACGCGUGGGUAACCUGCCCUGUACUGGGGGACAACAGUUAGAAAUGACUGCUAAUACCGCAUAAGCGCACAGGACCGCAUGGUCCGGUGUGAAAAACUCCGGUGGUACAGGAUGGACCCGCGUCUGAUUAGGUAGUUGGCGGGGUAACGGCCCACCAAGCCGACGAUCAGUAGCCGACCUGAGAGGGUGACCGGCCACAUUGGGACUGAGACACGGCCCAAACUCCUACGGGAGGCAGCAG
rnacentral:rRNA from 1 species